GGAGCGGGCCAGGCGGCCGCGGGCCUUCGGGCACGAGGAAAGUCCGGGCUCCACAGGGCAGGAUGCCAGCUAACGGCUGGGCGGGGCGACCCGACGGAAAGCGUCACAGAAAAGAAGACUCCCGCCUUCGGGCGAGAAAAGCUGAAACGGUGCGGUAAGAGCGCACCAGCGCGCGGGUAACCGCGCGGCUUGACAAGCCCCAUCCGGAGCAAACGCAAAUAGGGAUGCGAUGCGGUGGCCCGCCGUGCAUCCGGGUUGCGCGCUCGAGGCGCACGGCGACGUGCGUCCUAGAUAAAUGGCCGUCCCACGACAGAACCCGGCUUACCGGCCCGCUCCAUCA
rnacentral:RNase_P_RNA from 1 species